AGGUUAAGCUAGAAAGGGCGCACGGUGGAUGCCUUGGCACUAGGAGCCGAUGAAGGACGGGGCAAACGCCGAAACGCUCCGGGGAGCUGUAAGCAAGCGUUGAUCCGGAGAUGUCCGAAUGGGGGAACCCACUGUCCGUAAUGGGGCAGUAU
rnacentral:rRNA from 1 species